AGUACGUGAAACUGCUUAGAGGUUAAGCCCGAUGAACCUGAAUAUCCGUUAUGGAAAAUUCAUCAUUAAUAUUAUAAUAUUUAUCAUAUUAUAAAAAUAGUGUGCAAUUUUUCCAUAUAAGGACAUUGUAAUCUGUUAAUGUAUUAAAUAUUUAUUAAAAGAUCUUAUACUUAAGUUUAUUUGAAUUUGUUAUCUUCGGAUUUCAAACAUAAAAUAAAUGUAUUUGAUUUAAUAAAUCAUUGACAGAUUUCAUUAUAUAUAGUGCUUAAAUUUUUUUAAAUUUUACAAUUGCACGAUAAUUCUAUUUAUUGUGUUUAUUGUAUGCGCUUAUAUGAUUAACAAUGCGAUAGAUUCAGGAUACCUUCGGGACCCGUCUUGAAACACGGACCAAGGAGUCUAACAUAUGUGCAAGUCAUUGGGUAUUUUUAAUAAAACCCAAUGGCAUAAUUAACUUAACUGUUUUAUAUAUGGGAUUAGUUUAAAUUUUAUUAUGAAAUAUAAAUUCAAUCCCGGGGCGUUCUAUACAGUUAUGCAUAAUGGUAUUUAUAUUAUUUAUGCCUCUAACU
rnacentral:rRNA from 1 species